GGCCUCUCUCUCGUUAGGCUUUUGGGAAUGGGUUGGGUUUUUGUUUUUGUUUUUCUUCUCAGUGGGGGCUAAAGGUCAGAAUCAACCCUUGAGAAUAAUUGACAGAAGCACCAAGCACCUGGUAGCCUUGUUUUCUUGCCUCAAUCAUAA
rnacentral:snoRNA from 1 species